AUCUGCCUCUUGGCGGUGGAUAACCCUUCGAAAGGAGGGCUAAUACAGCAUAAGGACCAACGCGCUCGCGAGAGCGUGGGGUAAAGCCGGCCUCUUCAUGAAAGCUGGCACCGAGAGAUGAGCCUGCGGCCCCAUCAGGUAGUUGGUAGGGUAACGGCCUACCAAGCCGAAGACGGGUAGCUGGUCUGAGAGGAUGAUCAGCCACACUGGAACUGAGACACGGUCCAGACUCCUACGGGAGGCAGCAGUGGGGAAUCUUGCGCAAUGGGCGAAAGCCUGACGCAGCGACGCCGCGUGAGUGAUGAAGGCCUUCGGGUUGUAAAGCUCUGUGGAGGGGGACGAAUAAGGGCCGUCGAAUAGACGGCUCGAUGACGGUACCCCUUUAGCAAGCACCGGCUAACUCUGUGCCAGCAGCCGCGGUAA
rnacentral:rRNA from 1 species